rnacentral:tRNA from 1 species
GGGGGCGUAGCUCAGCUGGGAGAGCGCUGCGUUCGCAACGCAGAGGUCAAGGGUUCGAACCCCUCCGUCUCCA